GCUUCUGGUAGGAAAUCCGCAGUCAAGGAGUUACCUAUCAUCUCUAUAUAGAUUCUACUGCAGUCUGGAAGUGUUAUAUAUCUGCCAUACAAAACUCUACUCCCAAGGUGCAGGACUUUACAUUUUCUUCAUUGAAUUGUAGCAGCCACUUUUUGUUCCACUUCUGUAGCUUCGUGAGGUCUUCUGGUAGGAAAUCCACAGUCAGUUAAAAGCUGGGGACCUCGCAUUCCACUCCACUCACAGAGCCUCCUCAGCCGCUCAUGUCUCAGGCAAGGAAAACAUUAUGGAAAACUAAACCACUUUAAUCAUUCUAAAGCAUACAUAAUCAUCCUCUAGUCUAGGCAGUUAGCAAUAAAACAGUAUUAUUGUUGACUUUCGAGAAUAUAAAGUCGAUCGGGUAAUCAAAAAAAGCCGGAACAGUAUUUUAUAUCGCCGCGACUGCGUGUGCGACUCAAGAAACAGUCGCAACGAACCAUCCUAGAGCAUGCGAAGAGUCACUGUUGCCAGACGCGUAGAGGCAGGGCUGUGGAGUGAGUCGGAGGUGUAGAGAGUCAUGUAGAAAUUUCUGAACUCGUGGUUGGAAUUAUAAAUGUUUGUGGACUUGUAGACUUCACUCUCCAGCCUAUGUCUUACUGGAUUAUGUUCUGUUGUUUGAUGAGUGUGGAUAGGCUGAUGCAUUGGGUGGUGAGACCUUUCGGUUCUUUCCCUGAUGGUUCACCCUAGCAUGGCUCAUAGGGAAAGGUUAUCAGGUAUAGAAGUAUGGUAUAAGGCUUCAAUAGAGUGCAAAUUGUUAUGGAGUAAGGGUUGGUUUUGAAGUUACUAGCCAGCCAUAUAUAAAUUUCUGGUCGAGUUUGAAUUGUAAAAGGUUAUGGAUUCAGAAUAUCAGGUUAUCAGGUAUAGAAGUAUGGUAUAAGGCUUCAAUAGAGUGCAAAUUGUUAUGGAGUCAGGGUUGGUUUUGAAGUUACGAGUCAGACAUAUAUAAAUUUCUGGUCGAGUUUGAAUUGUAAAAGGUUAUAGACUCAGAAAUAUCAGGUUAUCAGGUAUAGAAGUAUGGUAUAAGGCUUCAAUAGAGUGCAAAUUGUUAUGGAGUCGGGGUUGGUUUUGAAGUUACUAGUCAGCCAUAUAGAAAUUUCUGGUCGAGUUUGAAUUAUAAAAGGUUAUGGAUUCAGAAUACCAGGUUAUCAGGUAUAGAAGUAUGGUAUAAGGCUUCAAUAGAGUGCAAAUUGUUAUGGAGUAAGGGUUGGUUUUGAAGUUACUAGCCAGACAUAUAUAAAUUUCUGGUCGAGUUUGAAUUGUAAAAGGUUAUAGACUCAGAAAUAUCAGGUUAUCAGGUAUAGAAGUAUGGUAUAAGGCUUCAAUAGAGUGCAAAUUGUUAUGGAGUAAGGAUUGGUUUUGAAGUUACUAGCCAGACAUAUAGAAAUUUCUGGUCGAGUUUGAAUUAUAAAAGGUUAUGGACUCAGAAUAUCAGGUUAUCAGGUAUAGAAGUUUGGUAUAAGGCUUCAAUAGAGUGCAAAGUGUUAUGGAGUCGGGGUUGGUUUUGAAGUUACUAGUCAGCCAUAUAUAAAUUUCUGGUCUGAUUUGAAAUUGUUUACAUACUCAGAAGAAAUGGUAACAAGGUAUAAGGUCUGAAAAUUCUGGAGUCUGAGUCAGAGGUGCAAAGAUUUCUGGAACUGGAGAUGGUCUUGAAGGCAGAAAUAGUUGAAGUUAUUGAAGUUUGUGGGUGAAAGGUGUGAGUCUUUUCUGGAGUAUGAGUGAAUCCAAUACCAUCAUUUUACAAGUAUUUUAAGUAUGUGGUUUAGGCUACACAUUUUCGGAGGCUACAUUAGAGAUAGUCAUAGGUGUUGUACGGAUAUCUGGAGAAGGGGGUAUACACACAUUUCUGGGGGCCAAGUCAGAAAUGGUCAGAUGUUGUACAAAUAUCUGGAGAUGGAGGUAUUUACACACAUUUCUGGAGGCCACGUCAAGGAUACCCUUCACCUCUCUGCCUCCACACAUUUUAUAGGCUACAGAUUUCUGGAGGCCACGUCAAGAGUUUUCCGUUCACCUCUCCCUCCACACACAAUAUAGACUACAGAUUUCUGGAGGAGGCCACAUCAAGACUUUUCUGUUCACCUCUUCCUUCUCACACUCUAGACUACAGAUUGCUGGAGGAGGCCACAUCAAGAGUUUUCUGUUCACCUCCCUGCCUCCUCACACUAUAUAUACUACAGAUUUCUGGAGGAGGCCACAUCCAGACUUUUCUGUUCACCUCUCCCUCCACGCUAUAUAAGCUUCACAUUUCUGGAGGCUACAUCAGUCAUCUGCCCACCUCUCUGGCUCCACAACCCUCCUCACUGUCCUCUCCUCUUCUAUGUGCAUUGGAUUGGCUGAUAGAUAAUUAAGUGCGUCUCCUCUUUCCGCCCUCACUACAGUCUAGGCAUAUUGAUUUACAUACAUGUUUAAACUUUCUGCAUUAUAAAACACUCCCUUUGAAAUAUACUUUGUGGGCUAUAAGAGUUAUUAUGUACACGACGAGCAGCAACAUCGCCAGCCACCCUCUCUCUCGGGCGUCCAUUCACACAGUUACAGGCAUACAAAAAAAGGCAUAGUCUCGUGGUCGUUCCGCUGCGGCCAAAAUCAUAGAGAGAAAAAAUUAAGCCGUCGUUCCGUUCGUUCGGUCACGCCAGGUCAUCCUCCUUGUGUGUUGGGAAUGUCCGCCAAUCCGUACGCAUCCCGUUCCAAUUAGUACUCACAUUAGGAUAAAAAGAAUGAAAUAAAAUAAAAAUCAAUAAAUUAAAUGCAGGAAAACUCAACUGAGAUAUGAAGUUUCAAAUAAUGUGAUUAAUUUAUUUGUGUGUGUGAAGAAGACUGAAAAUUAUAAAAGGGACAAAAAUUAAGUACUCACAUUAGGAUAAAAAAUAAAUCCAUAAAUAAAAUGCUGGAAAAUUCAACUGAGAUAUGAAGUUUCAAAUAUUGUGAUGAUUAAUUUUUUGUGUGUGAAGAAGACUGAAAAUUAUAAAAGGGACAAAAAUUUAAAGUACUCAUAUUAGGAUGAAAAAAAUAAAUAAAUAAAUAAAAUGCUGGAAAACUCAACUGAGAUAUGAAGUUUCAAAUAUUGUGAUGAUUAAUUUUUUUUGUGUGUUUGUGAAGAAGAUUGAAAAUUAUAAAAGGGACAAAAAUUUAAAGUACUCACAUUAGGAUGAAAAAUAUAAAAUAAAUAAAUAAAUAAAAUGCUGGAAAAUUCAACUGAGAUAUGAAGUUUCAAAUAUUGUGAUGAUUAAUUUUUUUUGUUUGUGUGAAGAAGAUUGAAACUUAUAAAAGGGAAAAAAAUUUAAAGUACUCACAUUAGGAUGAAAAAAAUAAAAAAAAUAAAUAAAUAAAAUGCUGGAAAAUUCAACUGAGAUAUGAAGUUUCAAAUAUUGUGAUGAUUAAUUUUUUUGUUUGUGUGAAGAAGACUGAAAAUUAUAAAAGGGACAAAAAUUUAAAGUACUCAUAUUAGGAUGAAAAAAAUAAAAUAAAUAAAUAAAUAAAAUGCUGGAAAAUUCAACUGAGAUAUGAAGUUUCAAAUAUUGUGAUUAAUUUUUUGUGUGUGUGAAGACUGAAAAUUAUAAAAGGGACAAAAAUUUAAUACAUUAGGAUAGAAAAAUAAAAUAAAAUGCUGGAAAAUUCAACUGAGAUAUGAACUUUUAAAUAUUGUGAUGAUUGAAUUUUUUUUUUUGUGUGUGUGUGUGAUAAAGAUUGAAAAUUAUAAAAGGGACAAAAAAAAUUAGCAAAGCCUAUAAAUGAAUGCAGAAUGGAAAAUAACGGAGAAAUUGAGCUUUGCAGGAGAGGUGUUGCAGGAAAAAUUGUCAUAGGGAAGAGAAAAUACUGUGAAUUGGGCUUUUUUUUGUUUUGUUUACAUCUUAUUUUUGUUGCCCUUGAGUUGCUGUGCUGUAAAAAAAAAAAAAAAAAAGAACAGAUGAUAGAAUGAAGAUACUGAUUAACUCCUGUAUUAGAGAGUUGACCAGCAUAGGGAUGAAAGCAUGAAGAUACUGGUUAACUCUUGCACUAGGGAUCUGGACUGCAUUGGGAUGAAAGAAUGAAUAUACUACUGGUUAACUCUUGCAUUAGAGAGUUGGUCAGCCUAGGGAUGAAGGAAUGAAGAUACUGGUUAACUCCUGCACUGGAGAGUUGGACAGCACAGGGAUGAGCUUGACUAUCUAUUUGAGUUUUGACAUUAAGGAUGAAAGAGUGCAGAGAUUGGUUAACUCUUGCACUAAGGAUUUGGACAGCAUAGGGAUGAAAGAAUGAAGAUACUGGUUAACUCUUGCACUUGGGAUUUGGACAUAACUCUUGCACUAGGGAUUUGGACAGCAUAGGGAUGAAAGAAUGAAGAUGCUGGUUAACUCUUGCACUAGAGAGUUGGACAGCAUAGGGAUGAAAGAAUGAAGAUGCUGGUUAACUCUUGCACUAGAGAGUUGGACAGCAUAGGGAUGAAAGAAUGAAGAUGCUGGUUAACUCUUGCACUAGGGAUUUGGACAGCAUAGGGAUGAAAGAAUGAAGAUGCUGGUUAACUCUUGCACGAGGGAUUUGGACAGCAUAGGGAUGAAAGAAUGAAGAUGCUGGUUAACUCUUGCACUAGGGAUUUGGACAGCAUAGGGAUGAAAGAAUGAAGAUGCUGGUUAACUCUUGCACUAGGGAUUUGGACAGCAUAGGGAUGAAAGAAUGAAGAAACUGGUUAACUCUUGCACUAGGGAUUUGGACAGCAUAGGGAUGAAAGAAUGAAGAAACUGGUUAACUCUUGCACUAGGGAUUUGGACAGCAUAGGGAUGAAAGAAUGAAGAUGCUGGUUAACUCUUGCACUAGGGAUUUGGACAGCAUAGGGAUGAAAGAAUGAAGAUGCUGGUUAACUCUUGCACUAGGGAUUUGGACAGCAUAGGGAUGAAAGAAUGAAGAAACUGGUUAACUCUUGCACUAGGGAUUUGGACAGCAUAGGGAUGAAAGAAUGAAGAUGCUGGUUAACUCUUGCACUAGGGAUUUGGACAGCAUAGGGACAAAAGAGUGAAGAAACUGGUUAACUCUUGCACUGGAGAGUUGGACAGCAUAGGGAUGAAAGAAUGAAGAAACUGGUUAACUCUUGCACUAGGGAUUUGGACAGCAUAGGGAUGAAAGAAUGAAGAUACUGGUUAACUCUUGCACUAGGGAUUUGGACAGCAUAGGGACGAAAGAGUGAAGAAACUGGUUAACUCUUGCACUAGGGAUUUGGACAGCAUAGGGAUGAAAGAAUGAAGAAACUGGUUAACUCUUGCACUAGGGAUUUGGACAGCAUGGAAAUGAAAGAAUGAAGAUGCUGGUUAACUCUUGCACUAGAGAGUUGGACAGCAUAGGGAUGAGCUUGACUAUCUAUUUGAGUUUUGACAUUUAGGAUGAAAGAGUGCAAAGAUUGGUUAACUCUUGCACAAGGGAUUUGGACAGCACAGGGAUGACCUUCAACAUCUAUCCAAAUAUCGACGUAAAUGUUUGAUAUCAAUACCUCAGUUCAGUUUAACAGGGUACAGAUUUUUCUCUGCAUGAGUACUAAUUGGAACCGUGCGUACAAUUUCGUGAAGGUUGCUAAUGACAUCCAGGGCUUGCUAAUGAAAAUACAGCAUAGAUACAUUGUGGUGUCAGGUCUGUCAGGGAGUUGAAAUUUUGUACGCACCAUCCCAGUCUGUACUCACCUCAGGAAAGACAAACUCCAUCCAGAAAUAUCAACGACGCACAAAAACGAAUGUCCGUAACUUGUUUAUGUUUUUCCGAUGCGAGUACUCGAACCCUUUCCGGCAAGUCUAUCAGAAGCCACGGCCUCACAUUAUGGCACCAGCUUAGUUCCUUGACCCCCAACCUGCUUAUAGUGACAGUGUGAAGUUGUCUGCCGCAUCAUUUGAUAAUUCUCCGAUAGUAAUCAUAUCAACCAGCUAUAACAUGACAAAAAGCACAUUCUGAUCUUAUUUUUCCAUCUGAAGGCAUAAUAAUAUCAAGAGAAUGAGAUACUGGUUAACCUUUGCACUAGGGAUUCAGACAGAACAGGGAUGAAAGAAUGAAGUUACUGGUCAACUCUUGCACUAGGGAUUCAGCCAGCACAGGGAUGAAAGAGUGAAGAUACUGGUCAACUCUUGCGCUAGGGAGUUGGACAGCACAGGGAUGAAAGAAUGAAUAUACUGGUCAACUCUUGCACUAGGGAGUUGGACAGCACAGGGAUGAAAGAGUGAAGAUACUGGUCAACUCUUGCGCUAGGGAGUUGGACAGCACAGGGAUGAAAGAAUGAAUAUACUGGUCAACUCUUGCACUUGGGAGUUGGACAGCACAGGGAUGAAAGAAUGAAGAUACUGGUCAACUCUUGCACAAGGGAUUCAGCCAGCACAGGGAUGAAAGAAUGAAGAUACUGGUCAACUCUUGCACUAGGGAGUUGGACAGCACAGGGAUGAAAGAAUGAAGAUACUGGUCAACUCUUGCACUAGGGAGUUGGACAGCACAGGGAUGAAAGAAUGAAGAUACUGGUCAACUCUUGCACUAGGGAGUUGGACAGCACAGGGAUGAAGGAUGAAAAUACAUACCGGUCAACCUAACCUAAGGAACAAGUUGGCUGUUGAACUUGGCAUCUCACGAGCAUUUCUUCAGAUAGUUGCAGGAAUGGGCUGGAAUUGGAAUGGUGCGUUUAAAUUGGCAAAUCCGGCUAGAUUGUCAUAUACAGAAUAUAUAUGGUGUCAACACAACAUUGCUCGUAACAUAUCCCCAGAACAUAUUUUCCUUAACAUAUUAUAAAUCAACGUCCCUUUACACGGCAUCACACAAUAGAGUAGCGGGCUUUGUUUUUCACAUUUGUUACAUUUUUUUUAAGCCCUUGAACUGACUCCUCUGCUGUAGGAAAAAAAAAAUGCUCAUUACGAAUCAUCAGAACACAUUUUCGUAAACGUAUUUUUAAACUCAAUUUCUCGGGACUGUUUUGCGUCAUCACCAGAGACGCCUUCAUAUGACAUCAACCCAACCACUCUCGUAACACAUCAUCAGAACACAUUUUCAACUUAACGUAUUUUUAAACUCAAUUUCCCAGGACUGUUUUGCGGCAUCACCAGAGACGCAUUCAUUCGACAUCAACCCAACCAUUUUCGUAACAUAUCAGAACACAUAUUCAACUUAACGUAUUUUUAAACUCAAUUUCUCAGGACUGUUUUAUGGCAUCACCAGAGACGCGUUCAUUCGACAUCAACCCAACCAUUCUCGUAACAUAUCAUCAGAACACAUUUUCAACUUGACGUAUUUUUAAACUCAAUUUCUCAGGACUGUUUUGCGGCAUCACCAGAGACGCGUUCAUAUGACAUCAACCCAACCACUCUCGUAACAUAUCAUCAGAACACAUUUUCAACUUAACGUAUUUUUAAACUCAAUGUAUCCGGACUGUUUUAUGGCAUCACCAGAGACGCGUUCAAAUGACAUCAACCCAACCAUUCUCGUAACAUACCAUCAGAGCGCAUUUUCAACUUAACGUAUUUUUAAACUCAAUUUCUCAGGACUGUUUUGCGGCAUCACCAGAGACGCCUUCAUAUGACAUCAACCCAACCACUCUCGUAACACAUCAUCAGAACACAUUUUCAACUUAACGUAUUUUUAAACUCAAUUUCUCAGGACUGUUUUAUGGCAUCACCAGAGACACCUUCAUAUGACAUCAACCCAACCACUCUCGUAACAUAUCAGAACACAUUUUUAACUUAACGUAUUUUUAAACUCAAUUUCUCAGGACUGUUUUGCGGCAUCACCAGAGACGCCUUCAUACGACAUCAACCCAACCAUUCUCGUAACACAUCAUCAGAGCGCUUUUUUAACUUAACGUAUUUUUAAACUCAAUAUCUCAGGACUGUCAUACGGCACCAACAGAAUCGUCACCAUGCAACAUCAACACAUCAGAGCUCAUAACACAUCAUUCAAACACAUUUUCCUUAACGUAUUGCAACUCGCCAAACUCUACAAUCAGUUUUAACCAGCAGAUUCAGGGACAGUUGCGGACACAAGUUUUGAUUCACCUUGCUUAAAAUUCACUGUGACCUUGUAGAUUUUCAUUCACUGUAACCUUCAACCCCCCGUGACACUGUAGGCUUAGAUUCACUGUGCUUCAUCCUCCUCUCAACUUCUGUCUCUCUUUCUAAUUCUCUCCCCGGGUUCGAUUCCCGGGCGGAGUGGAAAAAAUUGGGCGGCUUUUCCGAUACCCUACGCCCCUGUCCACCCAGCAGCGAAUGGGUACCAGGUAUUAAUCGGGGGUUGUGUCCCUUCUCCUAUAAUUCCUUCCCCCUCCUGUCUCUCUCCGGCAUAUGACCACAGAUGUUGCGCCGACUAAACGAAACUUUCCAACCUUCCAUUUCCCUUGCUGUUUCUCUCGUCACUGUCCAAGCUCCCUGCGACACUGUAUCUUGCCCAUUCUCUAUGCUUGCUCGUUCAUUCUCCACUCAUUUUCUUCCUUCUUCACAUUCUCCUCUCUCCUCUUAGUUCAUGCCCCCUUCCCCUCUCUCUCCUUUCCUCACCCUCCCUCUCUUUCUCUCCAUCCAUCUGCCAGCUACCAGGUCACAGUGGGUUUGAGAGUAAGGUGAAACGGUACUUUUUGUCCACAACUGUACCACAAGACAACCUGAUCUCUGUUAAAAGUUAAGGGUAAUAUUAAACUUAGUAACUCAUGGGAAACACAAUAUAGGCAGUGCGUAUUUGAGAGGAUGUACAGCGAUUCCUAUACAGCAUUUGGUCUUCACAUGUUGUAGUAAUAAUAAUAAUAAAAGUUAAGGGUAGUAAUUAACAUAGCAACUCAGGGGAACACAUAUAGGCAGUGCGUAUUUGAGGGUAUGUCCGCCAGUCCCUUCAUACCAUCCCAGUUGGCGUUUGUAUAUCAAGAAGAAAGUUUUGGGGGAAUAAUCGGAGUAUUUUCUCGGUGUAGGAAAUGAACACAAUUAUAAAAAGUCCUUCCUUGCAAUCCUCCGCCCCAAUUUUAAAAAGUAUAGGGUCAUGGAAAGAGAGAGAGUUGGUUUUUUGUUUGAGUUGUCUUGAAAGAGUUAAGUCAUAGGAAGGAAGGAAGGAAGGAAGGAAGGAGGGAAAGGAAGGAAGGAAGGAGGGAAAGAAAGGAAGGGAAAGACAAUGAAAGAAAGAAAGGAAGAUAAAAAAAGAAAGGAAGGAAAGUAGAAAAAAUGAAAAAGAAAAAAAAGAAAGAAAGAAAGAAGGAAGGGAAGGGAGUUUCAGAAUUGACUCAGAAAACAGAUGAAAGACUGACCAUACUAGUCAACUCUUGCUUUGGAAAGUUGGACAGCACAGGGAUGAGUUUGAGCAGAAAGUCCUGUGCAGCGAGGGUCCGUGUGAGGGGGAAGGCUUCAACUUAGAAUAAACUAUAGCCAAAAUAAUAUAUCUUCAUCAAUUUCAUAUAUUUACGAAGCCUAGUUUUUCUGCUUCCGCUCAAUUUUCUGGUCUAGGGUCUAUAUUAUUAACCCGGUAGCAGCGACGGGCCAAAUUUGUGGCUUUACCGUAUAGCAGCGAUGGGCCAAAUUUGUGGCUUUACCGUAUAGCAGCGAUGGGCCAAAUUUGUGGCUUUACCGUAUAGCAGCGAUGGGCCAAAUUUGUGGCUUUACCGUAUAGCAGCGAUGGGCCAAAUUUGUGGCUUUACCGUAUAGCAGUGAUGGGCCAAAUUUGUGGCUUUACCGUAUAGCAGCGACGGGCCAAAUUUGUACCAUGAUAUAAACCCCCCAAAAUAGAUGAUACAUAAUCUGAUCACAAAUGCUUUGAUAUAUAUUAUGAAAUGGUUUGUGUGAGGGGUGAUUUUUUCUCAUUUUUCUCGCUUGGAGGGACCAUUAAGAAACAUGGUCCCCUCUGCUACCUGGUUAAACAUAUCAAGCUCCCAUUGCUCCGAUUUUUCAAGGCCACAGGGAAAAGUAACUGGGUUUUCAAGGGUAGUUUUCCAGUUCAAGGUGCAGAGGUCAGGUAAAACUAUCACCAGGGGUCCCACUAUGACUUUUCCCAAGGCCACAGGGAAGAGUAACUGGGUUUCCAUGGGUAGUUUUCUGGUUUAAGAUGCAGAGGUCAUGUCCAACUUUCACCAGGAUCACAAAACAGUCAUUGAAAAGCCCAGCGGCAACUUCUACGAGAGGCUUUUCAAAUGAGUGAACAGAGGUGACUCGAUGAUUAUAAAUACAGCCUUAGGAAUCUUCUGUCUGAUAAAAAACUAGAGUGGAAAAACUAUCACCAGGGUCACAAAACGGUCAUUGAAAACCCCAGCAACAACUUCUACGAGAGGCUUUUCAAACAGGUGAACUGAGCUG